rnacentral:rRNA from 1 species
UACGUAGGGUGCGAGCGUUAAUCGGAAUUACUGGGCGUAAAGCGUGCGCAGGCGGUUCGUCGUGUCCGAUGUGAAAGCCCCGGGCUCAACCUGGGAAUGGCAUUGGAAACUGGCGGACUCGAGUGUGGCAGAGGGGGGUGGAAUUCCGCGUGUAGCAGUGAAAUGCGUAGAGAUGCGGAGGAACACCGAUGGCGAAGGCAGCCCCCUGGGCUAACACUGACGCUCAGGCACGAAAGCGUGGGGAGCAAACGAGG